ACGGGAGGCAGCAGUGGGGAAUAUUGCACAAUGGGCGCAAGCCUGAUGCAGCAACGCCGCGUGAGGGAAGACGGUCUUCGGAUUGUAAACCUUUGUCUUUGGUGAAGAAGAAAGUGACGGUAGCCAAGGAGGAAGCCACGGCUAACUACGUGCCAGCAGCCGCGGUAAUACGUAGGUGGCAAGCGUUGUCCGGAAUUACUGGGUGUAAAGGGAGCGUAGACGGUUUGGCAAGUCUGAAGUGAAAUGCCGGGGCUCAACCCCGGAACUGCUUUGGAAACUGUCGAACUAGAGUGCAGGAGAGGUAAGUGGAAUUCCUAGUGUAGCGGUGAAAUGCGUAGAUAUUAGGAGGAACACCAGUGGCGAAGGCGGCUUACUGGACUGUUACUGACGUUGAGGCUCGAAGGCGUGGGGAGCAAACAGGAUUAGAUACCCUGGUA
rnacentral:rRNA from 1 species